ensembl:lncRNA
CCCCGAACGGUGACGUCAUUAUCAGUGUCCGUGGGGCUGACACGUGUUGAGUGCACACGAGUCUGUCUUUAUCUCCGAGGUCAUCGGAGGACCCCACCAUCCCAAACCAGACUGCACACCCUGUCCAGCUUUUGUGGACUCGGCAACGGGACCCAAGGGGUAUUUCUGGAGACCUUCCCAAAGGAGCCAUCCAGCCAGGUGGAAGCCCAGGCCCCCACAGCCCAUCUGCUGCCGACCUCCUUUGAGAACUUAGC